GCCNGNCUGACAAGAGAAAAUGUNCACUGGGCGCNGNANCCNAACCGUGCGAAGGUAGCGUAAUCACUUGUUCUUUAAAUGAGGACUAGUAUGAAUGGCACCACGAGGGUUAUACUGUCUCCUUUUUCCAAUCAGUGAAACUAAUCUCCCCGUGAAGAAGCGGGAAUAAACCUAUAAGACGAGAAGACCCUAUGGAGCUUUAAACAACAUAACACUUGCCCURCAACAUAAAAAUUCCUGAACACAUAAAUUUACUGGCAUGCUGACUAUAAGUUUNUGGUUGGGGUGACCGAGGAGCAUAAUACAACCUCCAUGUUGAAAGAUAUUAUUCUUAGCUGAAACCUNCUAGUUUAAUCACCAAUAUAUUGANAUCCAUUGACNCAAUAAAAUUGGGCNNCGAACCAAGUUACCCUAGGGAUAACAGCNCAAUCCACUCCAAGAGCUCCUAUCGNCAUAGUGGGUUUGCGACCUNGAUGCUNCNANCUGGGUAUCCCNAGUGAUACAUGNGCUGAGCUCAAGAUCCGUCNUGCU
rnacentral:rRNA from 1 species